rnacentral:rRNA from 1 species
UACGAAGGGGGCUAGCGUUGCUCGGAAUCACUGGGCGUAAAGGGCGCGUAGGCGGCCGUUUAAGUCGGGGGUGAAAGCCUGUGGCUCAACCACAGAAUUGCCUUCGAUACUGGACGGCUUGAGACCGGAAGAGGUAAGUGGAACUGCGAGUGUAGAGGUGAAAUUCGUAGAUAUUCGCAAGAACACCAGUGGCGAAGGCGGCUUACUGGUCCGGUUCUGACGCUGAGGCGCGAAAGCAUGGGGAGCAAACAGG